rnacentral:rRNA from 1 species
AUUGAACGCUGGCGGCAUGCUUUACACAUGCAAGUCGAACGGCAGCGCGGGCUUCGGCCUGGCGGCGAGUGGCGAACGGGUGAGUAAUGCAUCGGAACGUGCCCAGUAGUGGGGGAUAGCCCGGCGAAAGCCGGAUUAAUACCGCAUACGACCUGAGGGUGAAAGCGGGGGACCGAAAGGCCUCGCGCUAUUGGAGCGGCCGAUGUCGGAUUAGCUAGUUGGUGGGGUAAAGGCUUACCAAGGCGACGAUCCGUAGCUGGUCUGAGAGGACGACCAGCCACACUGGGACUGAGACACGGCCCAGACUCCUACGGGAGGCAGCAGUGGGGAAUUUUGGACAAUGGGGGCAACCCUGAUCCAGCCAUGCCGCGUGCGGGAAGAAGGCCUUCGGGUUGUAAACCGCUUUUGUUCGGGAAGAAAUCCUCUGGGCUAAUACCCCGGGGGGAUGACGGUACCGUAAGAAUAAGCACCGGCUAACUACGUG